GUGAGGAAUAUUGGACAAUGGGCGCAAGCCUGAUCCAGCCAUGCCGCGUGAGUGAUGAAGGCCUUCGGGUUGUAAAGCUCUUUAGCCGAUGAUUAUAAUGACUGUAGUCGGAAAAUAAGCCCCGGCUAACUUCGUGCCAGCAGCCGCGGUAAUACGAAGGGGGCGAGCGUUAUUCGGAAUCACUGGGCGUAAAGCGUGCGUAGGCGGCUUUGCAAGUUGGGAGUGAAAGCCCAGGGCUCAACCCUGGAAUUGCUCUCAAAACUGCAAGGCUCGAAUUCGGGAGAGGAUAGCGGAAUUGUCAGUGUAGCAGUGAAAUGCGUAGAUAUUGACAGGAACACCAGUGGCGUAAGCGGCUAUCUGGACCGAUAUUGACGCUGAGGCACGAAAGCGUGGGGAUCAAACAGGAUUAGAAACCCUUGUAGUCC
rnacentral:rRNA from 1 species